GGGUGGUUGGGGGAAGGCUCGGCCGUGCGCUGUCCGCUCGGGUGUCCCCGGGACGAGUCGAGCCGGGCUGGGCUGGGAAGAAGGAGGAGGAGGGGGGAGAGGCCUCCCCUCCCGGGGGACCCUGCGGUUAUCGUGCUCCCUUCUGCUCUGCUCCCCAGGGACCACCGGCGGUGGCCGGGGGCGUCCCCAGCCCCGCAGAUGUCACCGCGGCCGUCGGGUGUCUCCACGCCAGCCCGGCCGUGGGGAGAAAGCAAAGUUUGUCCGGAGGCACCAAAGCGAGAAAUGCUGCGGUGUCCCCGCCAUGCUGGUGCUCACCGAGGUGGCCCUGGUCUCUGCGUUGGCCCUUUGGCCAGGAGGAGGCUUGGGGUGUGUGGUGUGGGGACAGGGAUGGGGACGGGGACCGGGGCAUAACUGACAGAGGUGGUGCCUGGCCCAUGGAAGCCCUAGGGCUACCUUUCCGGGACAUGGGAGGGUGCCAGGAGGUCGAGGGCCCUGAGGAAAAUCAGCCAAAUGUUGUUUUGCAGUGGGCAGAAGCUUCUGUCCACAGCGCAGACCUGAGGAAAGUCCCUCAGCUCGGUGCCAGAGGUUGCUUUGAGCUGGUCAGCGUUGUGAUCUGUGGAGUAAUUUGUUGCUCGGGAGCUCUAUAAAUUGUCCUCUGUGCUCUAGCAGAGCAGUGCUUCGUUCCGGUUGUACCAGGUGCUACAGAGCAGCAAGAGAUCGAUCUCUUUUCCUGGGGAGAUCAGGGCCUGAACCCAGGCAAACUUGCCACCGUGUGUGUGGUGGUAGCUGUGGUUUUGCUUCUCAGGUGAGUUUACUUCCACUAGGUUGAGGCAGAUGGGCAGGAGCUGGCGCCCGAGUGGGCUGGAAGAGGGUUUGGCAGCGUGAGCGGAGCGGUGGGCAGCUCUUUGCAGUGGCAUGCCCAGGGCUCCCACCGUGCAUAUGGCAGAGGCUGUGCUGGCUGGGGGCCAUGCCCCAUCCUCUGGAGGUGCAACCAGGCGUUGCAGUGUUGGGAAAGUGUGGGCAUGGGAGGUUGUUCAGAUGCUUCGGCGUGCUGUGGAGCAUUUCCUUGUCAACCCAAGGCUGAGGGUGAAGUGGGAAUCAAUUCAUCUAAUUUCCUGGAUGCAGCUCUUGGGUGCCCAGCAUAGCAAAGCCUAAGAACAGGAGCUUGGGUGGAUUGUCUCCAAGAGAAACCACGUGUGAUUGGACUUUGUGCAUGCUGCUGUCACAUUGGCUCAGCCAUGGCUCUUGUGCUAACCUGGUAGCUGUCACAGGCUGUGCUGAGGCAGAGCAGGUCCGCAGACCUUCCCUGGGUGCUAUGGUUGACCUCGCUCAUUGUAAUUGACUGGUCUUUAAUAAAAAGCACUGCUGAUUGCUUGACUUCUUAA